rnacentral:lncRNA from 1 species
GAGGAGAUUAUAGAGUGCUACUGAUUUCGUCGAGUAGUUAUAUGAAAAACUGAGGGGUCAUACAAAGCUGCUGAGAAUAACAGGAAUAAAAAAUGGAGCGACAGGGAUCGGGAGGUGAAAAUUUCGGCACCAGCGGCGAGAAGAUAUUGCGGGGAAAUAAUUAUUCCGGUGGAUCUGGUAUAAUCUGGGAUAAAUUUCGCGGACGUACCAUGCUCGUUCUGUUAACCCUCUUCGUCGUUUGGGCGGCGGUAUAUUUUACCGUCGGCA